rnacentral:sRNA from 1 species
GGAAAAAUGGCUCGGACUGUGGCGGCUUCGGCGGCUCAGGUUGUGGUAGAGGCGGAGGCUCAGGCAGCUUGAGAUUGAAGACCAAAUUUCCGUAUACCAAUCACCGCACAAACCCAGGCUAUUUGUUAAGUCCAGUCACAGCGCAAAGAAACAUAUGCGGAGAAAAUGCUAGUGUGAAGGUCUCCAUUGACAUUGAAGGAUUUCAGCUACCAGUUACUUUUACGUGCGAUGACACCCUGUUGAAGAACUCUUAGAUUGUUAUCACAACCAAGUAGAACUGGCUCUUCAAAUUGAAUCGUGUUCCUUCUUCAGUUCUAAUGCUGUCCCCCUAAAAGUCACAAUGGUGAAUGCUGACCCUAUGGGAGAAGAAAUUAAUGUCAUGUUUAAGGUUGGUGAAGAUCUUCGGCAAGAUAUGUUAGCUUUACAGAUGAUAAAGAUUAUGGAUAAGAUCUGGCUUAAAGAAGGACUAGAUCUGAGGAUGGUAAUUUUCAAAUGUCUCUCAACUGGCAGAGAUCGAGGCAUGGUGGAGCUGGUUCCUGCUUCCGAUACCCUCAGGAAAAUCCAAGUGGAAUAUGGUGUGACAGGAUCCUUUAAAGAUAAACCACUUGCAGAGUGGCUAAGGAAAUACAAUCCCUCUGAAGAAGAAUAUGAAAAGAUGAUUCCUUCAGGGUUACCAGAACUUAGAAGUAUUCAAGAUUUGAAAUACGUUAGAGAUGCACUUCAACCCCAAACUACAGACGCAGAAGCUACAAUUUUCUUUACUAGGCUUAUUGAAUCAAGUUUGGGAAGCAUUGCCACAAAGUUUAACUUCUUCAUUCACAACCUUGCUCAGCUUCGUUUUUCUGGUCUUCCUUCUAAUGAUGAGCCCAUCCUUUCAUUUUCACCUAAAACGUACUCCUUUAGACAAGAUGGUCGAAUCAAGGAAGUCUCUGUUUUCACAUAUCAUAAGAAAUACAACCCAGAUAAACAUUAUCUUUCCUAAUAGGAUGGUUCUAGGAAGAACACACAUAAAAGAUGUAGCAGCCAAAAGGAAAAUUGAGUUAAACAGUUACUUACAGAGUCUGAUGAAUGCUUCAACGGAUGUAGCAGAGUGUGAUCUUGUUUGUACUUUCUUCCACCCUUUACUUCGUGAUGAGAAAGCUGAAGGGAUAGCUAGGUCUGCAGAUGCAGGUUCCUUCAGUCUUACUCCAGGCCAAAUAGGAGGAGCUGUGAAAUUAUCCAUCUCUUACCGAAAUGGUACUCUUUUCAUCAUGGUGAUGCAUAUCAAAGAUCUUGUUACUGAAGAUGGAGCUGACCCAAAUCCAUAUGUCAAAACAUACCUACUUCCAGAUAACCACAAAACAUCCAAACGUAAAACCAAAAUUUCACGAAAAACGAGGAAUCCGACAUUCAAUGAAAUGGGAAUUUCGACGCAAGCUGGCGUCAGCCUCAAAUUCCCGCUCUGGCCACAAGGCUGACCAAAGACCGAUGCAUGCCGGGAUGAGGCCCGAUUGACGAUCUCUUGCGACGCUGAAAUGCAUUUCGGGAGAUGUAGUCACACAGACGGGAGGUGGCUGCGCAGCGUAGCUCCGCCUCCUGCGUGAGAGGAAGCGG